rnacentral:rRNA from 1 species
UACGGAGGGGACUAGCGUUGUUCGGAAUUACUGGGCGUAAAGCGCACGUAGGCGGAUUGUUAAGUCAGGGGUGAAAUCCCGAGGCUCAGCCUCGGAACUGCCUUUGAUACUGGCAAUCUCGAGUCCGGAAGAGGUGAGUGGAAUUCCUAGUGUAGAGGUGAAAUUCGUAGAUAUUAGGAAGAACACCAGUGGCGAAGGCGGCUCACUGGUCCGGUACUGACGCUGAGACGCGAAAGCGUGGGGAGCAAACAGG